rnacentral:rRNA from 1 species
GGGCCCGCACAAGUGGUGGAGCAUGUGGUUUAAUUCGAUGCAACGCGCAGAACCUUACCCAGCCUUGACAUCUUUCGAACUUUCCCGAAAGGGAUUGGUGCUACCGCAAGGUAGAACGAAAUGACAGGUGCUGCAUGGCUGUCGUCAGCUCGUGCCGUGAGGUGUUCGUUAAGUCCGGCAACGAGCGCAACCCCUAUCGCUAGUUACCAGCAUUCAGUUGGGGACUCUAGCGAGACUGCCGGUGACAAACCGGAGGAAGGUGGGGACGACGUCAAGUCCGCAUGGCCCUUAUGGCUGGGGCUACACACGUGCUACAAUGGCCGAGACAAAGAGUCGCAAGUUUGCAAAGACAAGCUAA